rnacentral:rRNA from 1 species
GACGAACGCUGGCGGCGUGCCUAACACAUGCAAGUCGAGCGAAUGAAGUUCCUUCGGGAAUGGAUUUAGCGGCGGACGGGUGAGUAACACGUGGGCAACCUGCCUCAUAGAGGGGAAUAGCCUUCCGAAAGGGAGAUUAAUACCGCAUAAGAUUGUAGUACCGCAUGAUACAGCAAUUAAAGGAGCAAUCCGCUAUGAGAUGGGCCCGCGGCGCAUUAGCUAGUUGGUGAGGUAACGGCUCACCAAGGCGACGAUGCGUAGCCGACCUGAGAGGGUGAUCGGCCACAUUGGGACUGAGACACGGCCCAGACUCCUACGGGAGGCAGCAGUGGGGAAUAUUGCACAAUGGGGGAAACCCUGAUGCAGCAACGCCGCGUGAGUGAUGACGG